rnacentral:rRNA from 1 species
GUGGGGAAUUUUGGACAAUGGGCGCAAGCCUGAUCCAGCAAUGCCGCGUGCAGGAUGAAGGCCUUCGGGUUGUAAACUGCUUUUGUACGGAACGAAAAGCCCUGGGUUAAUACCCUGGGGUCAUGACGGUACCGUAAGAAUAAGCACCGGCUAACUACGUGCCAGCAGCCGCGGUAAUACGUAGGGUGCGAGCGUUAAUCGGAAUUACUGGGCGUAAAGCGUGCGCAGGCGGUUUUGUAAGACAGAGGUGAAAUCCCCGGGCUCAACCUGGGAAAUGCCUUUGUGACUGCAAGGCUAGAGUACGGCAGAGGGGGAUGGAAUUCCGCGUGUAGCAGUGAAAUGCGUAGAUAUGCGGAGGAACACCGAUGGCGAAGGCAAUCCCCUGGGCCUGUACUGACGCUCAUGCACGAAAGCGUGGGGAGCAAACAGGAUUAGAUACCCCAGUAGUCC